rnacentral:pre_miRNA from 1 species
UUCCGGAAUGUCAUUUUAAUUUUUUCGGAUUUCUCUGUGUAGUUGUUCUGAGUACACUGAGAGAAAUCCGAAAAAGUUAAAAUAACAUUCCGGAA